GACAGAGGGUGCAAACGUUGUUCGGAAUUACUGGGCGUAAAGCGCGUGUAGGCGGCCAUCUAAGUCGGGCGUGAAAUCCCACGGCUCAACCGUGGAAGUGCACUCGAAACUGGAUGGCUAGAGUCCUGGAGAGGAAGGUGGAAUGCUUGGUGUAGAGGUGAAAUUCGUAGAUAUCAAGCGGAACACCGGUGGCGAAGGCGGCCUUCUGGACAGUGACGUGACGCUGAGACGCGAAAGCGUGGGGAGCAACAGG
rnacentral:rRNA from 1 species